rnacentral:rRNA from 1 species
CCUACGGGAGGCAGCAGUGGGGAAUAUUGGACAAUGGGGGGAACCCUGAUCCAGCCAUGCCGCGUGUGUGAAGAAGGCCCUCGGGUUGUAAAGCACUUUCAGUGAGGAAGAACGCCUGGUGGUUAAUACCCAUCAGGAAAGACAUCACUCACAGAAGAAGUACCGGCUAACUCCGUGCCAGCAGCCGCGGUAAUACGGAGGGUGCGAGCGUUAAUCGGAAUUACUGGGCGUAAAGCGCGCGUAGGUGGCUUGAUAAGCCGGUUGUGAAAGCCCCGGGCUCAACCUGGGAACGGCAUCCGGAACUGUCACGCUAGAGUGCAGGAGAGGAAGGUAGAAUUCCCGGUGUAGCGGUGAAAUGCGUAGAGAUCGGGAGGAAUACCAGUGGCGAAGGCGGCCUUCUGGACUGACACUGACACUGAGGUGCGAAAGCGUGGGUAGCAAACAGGAUUAGAUACCCCGGUAGGC